GAUGAACGCUGGCGGCGUGCUUAACACAUGCAAGUCGAACGGAAAGGCUCCUGCUUGCAGGGGUACUCGAGUGGCGAACGGGUGAGUAACACGUGGGUGAUCUGCCCUGCACUUCGGGAUAAGCCUGGGAAACUGGGUCUAAUACCGGAUAGGACGAUGGUUUGGAUGCCAUUGUGGAAAGUUUUUCGGUGUGGGAUGAGCUCGCGGCCUAUCAGCUUGUUGGUGGGGUAAUGGCCUACCAAGGCGUCGACGGGUAGCCGGCCUGAGAGGGUGUACGGCCACAUUGGGACGGAGAUACGGCCCAGACUCCUACGGGAGGCAGCAGUGGGGAAUAUUGCACAAUGGGCGCAAGCCUGAUGCAGCGACGCCGCGUGGGGGAUGACGGCCUUCGGGUGGUAAACUCCUUUCGCUAGGGACGAAGCGCAAGUGACGGUACCUGGAGAAGAAGCACCGGCUAACUACGU
rnacentral:rRNA from 1 species